CUUCUAACAAUGACAUCUUGAAUGCGGAGGACAUCACCCACCAGUCCCCGGCGAGCGUGGUCGCUGAGAUUAUUCGAGAACGGAUGUUUGGUGGGAUCACGGCAGCUUCGGAUCCUCGCCUGCUGGCUCUUUCCGGCCUCCUGGCUAGCUCUACUCAAGAGCAGGUGGCCUUCCGAGUUCGGUCCAGAGAGGACCUCGGGAAUACUGCUAGGGAGCUGCUCUUGAUGGUGAGUCACGCUCGUUCCUUUUCUGUUUCUAAUUUGUUUCUGCCUUUCCUCACCUUUUAGCUUUAUUCGUCUUCCCUUCUACUAGGUCACAGGCAUAUUCAUGGAGAUGGAUGCUCGGGACCGCGCUCUCAAGGAAUCUGUGGACCACCGUAUAGAAGAGGCACGCCUUGAGGAGAACUUAUUCGCGACCAGCGAUGCCCGGGGCAAUCUCGCUGCUGUCCAGGAAGACUACAGGUCCCUUCAGUUUGAUUUGCACAUGGCCUUGGAGGCCCGUAAGAAGGCUGAGGGGGAGACAGCCGAGGCGCAAAAGCAUGCCCAGUCCCUGGAAGCGGAGUUGUCUCACGCCCGGAGGGUUCUCAAGGAAUCUGACGAGAGGGCAGCUGCAGCAGAGGUCCGUUGUGAGGAAGUUCUGAAGCAGCUGUCC
rnacentral:lncRNA from 1 species